GGAAAGACCUAUCUGCACCCAAGAACACGAAUUCCCUAUUGGCAUGCGAUGCAACGACAGAGAAGGAAACUAGAAGGUGCUGCGUGUGGUGGCACAUAGGGAUUCCAGUAUCUUUUUCAAUUAAAUUCCAGGUAAUAGUUGCGUUAGUUUUCAUUUUGGGAUCCCAGAAUUCUUCCCAAAAUGGUUCGUUAACUUAAAAUAAUUGUUGAAAUCUAAAAAUUAAUUUUCAUGUGUUAUUUUAAUAAACAGUUUCAUAAACCAACAUAUGUAUGUCAAAUGGAAUGUUUGUAAUUCUAUGAAUAUGUGCAAGCUAAUACAAGUGUGAAAAAUAUAUGUAUAUAAUCUGUUGUUGUGUGUGUUUGCAUGGNNNNNNNNNNNNNNNNNNNNNNNNNNNNNNNNNNNNNNNNNNNNNNNNNNNNNNNNNNNNNNNNNNNNNNNNNNNNNNNNNNNNNNNNNNNNNNNNNNNAUAUAUCUAAAUGUGUAUGAAGCCGUGUGAAAAUAUAAAUAGAUAUUUAUAUAUAUGGAAUUAUAUGAGGGUAAAUAUGUCUAUGCUCUGUGUGUGUGCACCUAUAAAUUAAGGUAUAUAUUUAUGCAAGUGUAAGAGUUAUAUUUAUACAGAUUUAAAAUAUGAAUAUAUAUCUAUGUACUUUAUAUGGAUAUAAGUUUUGUGUGUAUUUAAUGUACGUAGGUAUUCCAAGAAAUCGUAUGUAUGUACUUAUACAUGUGACUAUAUGUUUUGUGUUUGCAUUUGAUAUAAUUAUAGGUAUUAUGCAAUUAUGAUAAUUACAAUUGCGGUAGUUUAUGUAUAAGUAAUAAAUAUAUAUUGCAAGAAAGAAUGUAUAUGCAUAAUUAGUAUAAGUUUAUUGUCGGAUAUAGUUGUGCUAAUAUAAAUAUAUGUAUGUAAUAUAUGUAGGUAUGGGUUGUGGUUGCUUAGUGUUUGCAUUAUAUGUUAGGAAUAUGCUUAAUAUGAUAUGAACUGUGUAUGUUGGACAUAUAUAUAUGCAUGAGGUUGUCUGCUUAAUAUACUCUGUAUGUGUGUGUGUGUGUGUGUGUGUAUGCGGAGUUAGAUGUGAAGUUUCCUUUUAAAAAAUAAAAUCUCAAGAAUAGUUAAGUUUAUGAAGUUGGUGUGUGAUAAUAAAGAUAACCCUUGAAGAGGAAAAAAAAAACUUAGCACGUAUCAUGGUAGAGAGUGUACGGACAAAGUAUAUAGGGUGAACCCUAUCAUAGAUGUGUCCUCAGUCAUACAGGGCUGGAAAGUCUCAUACCGAACAGGGUUGGGAGUUGGUUUAAUUAUGCUCAUACCAAACAAGAUAUUGAGACGAUUUAUAAUUGUUGCACUAAUUAUCGGAUGAGAUAUGGGGAUGACCGAUGAAUUAUAAAAAAAAUAUUUUGUAUAUCUGCGUGUAGCGGGGAUCCCUAUAGGUCCCCAGUGAUACCAGUAAUGGAAAUAAAAAUAUGUAAUGGAAAUAAAAAUGAUCUAGAUACGUAUCUGAUGUGGUUGAUGACAUUUGUGAAUGAAACGAAUUUAUCUAAAUAUGAAUUCAAUACGAUAUGGUGAUAUUUAUGAAUGAAAAUGAUAUGUACGGUAUCUAAAUAUAAAUAUGUUGAAAAGGGUAAUGAAAAUGAUGAGGUUUUUGAUUGGUUUUUUUUUGUUGUUAUACUUUGUGAUAAUAAUUAUGAGUAUGAUUGUCUUCUUUAAUUGGAUUUCUAUAGAUAUAAAAUCUGCAUUUGUUUUACAAAAAUAUGUAUGGUUGUUUGUUUAUAUAUCUUUAUUUAGACAUUGUCAUAUUCUUACUGAGUUUAUGAAGCUCACUCUAUUUCACAUUUUCCUUCCAGCGCAGAUUAGUUUAUAUCAGAAGUAAGUUCAUGGUUAAAAGAAGGCUUUGAAGGAGCUUUUAGCAAUUUUAGAAGUUUUGUUGUAAAGUGGAUCUAGAUAUAUCAUAGUGAUGUGAUUUAAAGAUUUUUGUGAAUCUCAUGAAUAGUAACUCAUACAAGAGAUGUAAGGUUGACUUAUAAAUUUUAGCAUAAUACUACACAAAUAAUUAGGUUUUAUGUACAUGAUAGCGCUUUUCCCUUAAAAGGGAAUGUGGGUCGUUAUAGGUUUCUUCCUAUAAAUCUCCAUGGAAGCAGGCACUUUUUAUGUAAAACUGUUGUAGUUGCUAGCCAAAAUGGGCAGUUAAUGAUAACAAGAUUAACAGAGUAUUCAUCUUGCAUAUUAAUGCAAAUAUCUUCUAGUAGUCUAUUCCAUAUGUCCAUAUAUAGCUUUUUGUAACCAAUCUUGCUUUAUAUCUCUCC
rnacentral:lncRNA from 1 species